AUCAUUAUGUAAACUAACCGUCAGUAUUACCAUAUGUACAUGUAGAUUUCAAACAAAACCAAUUUAGAAAGAUAUUUUACCUACCUAUAGGUAAAAUUAUGAAAAACGUUGCGUUUUACAUUGCUUUUAUAUUUGCAAUGGAUGUCGUCCACUUAGCGCAAGUGUGUUAUCAAUGCACAUCAACAAUGGAUUCGGAGUGCAAAGACACUUUAAAAGAGAAUUUUCCUAAUCAAUGUCUUAAUCGUAGCAUUGAAGCAAUACAGUGUUUUCGAUAUAAAUAUCAGCUAAAUGGAGAAAAUAUAACACACAUUGUACGGGGAUGUCGGAAUUUGGCUGAUAACUGCGAUAAUAUUAAAAAAGCUUUGCAAAAUGAACACAAAACACUCAAAGGUUGCUGGUUGUGUACAAAUGAUUUGUGUAACAACAGGGAUAUUGGACAAUCUAAAACGCUCCUAGGAAAAAAAACCACCAAAACACAAACUAAUAUUAGUGUUUCAGUUUUUGGAUUUUUGUCUAAUAUUUAUUAUUGGCUUUUUUUCUAUUAUUUUGAAAUGUUUACAAAAAAUUUUUCUUCUUACUUAAUUUAUGUAAAGUAGGUAACUAAUGUUUGUUCCAUUUAAUAAACAAUUGUCAGGGGUAUAAUAGUAGUUCAUAUCGCUUUACAUUACGUGUACCCGGAUUUGGGGUGGGCAAACACACCUAGUCAUUUUAAUAGAUGUGUUCCUGAAAAAACAAUUGGAUGUUUAAAGUCGGAUUUCGACUACUCAAUUUUUAGAAAUUUACACAGGGAAGUGGCUACUAUGAAUUGACCGCGACUAGUUCAUAAAUUUUUUCAAUUAAAACCAUACAACGAAAAUUCUUUCUGAUUGUGACACUGACAAUUGUUUAUUAAAUGAAACAGAUUUUACUAUUAUAUUGCCCAGGUUAAAUACGUACAAAUUGUCGCUAUCAUGUCUUGAAUUAUUGCUCGAAUUAUUGUUUUUAUCCACAAUCACUUUAUAAAGAGACUUUAUUCCACA